rnacentral:miRNA from 1 species
GCGGUAGGAAUCUGGCACUGUAGCUCCUGUAUGAAAACAGUAGCUGGUGGUGCCUGCACCUACAAUACCACUUCUGCAGUCACAGUCAAGUCAGCC